GACGAACGCUGGCGGCGUGCUUAACACAUGCAAGUCGAACGGUAAGGCCCUUCGGGGUACACGAGUGGCGAACGGGUGAGUAACACGUGGGUGAUCUGCCCUGCACUUCGGGAUAAGCCUGGGAAACUGGGUCUAAUACCGGAUAGGACUCCGGACUGCAUGGUCUGGGGUGGAAAGCUUUUGCGGUGUGGGAUGGGCCCGCGGCCUAUCAGCUUGUUGGUGGGGUGAUGGCCUACCAAGGCGACGACGGGUAGCCGGCCUGAGAGGGUGACCGGCCACACUGGGACUGAGAUACGGCCCAGACUCCUACGGGAGGCAGCAGUGGGGAAUAUUGCACAAUGGGCGCAAGCCUGAUGCAGCGACGCCGCGUGAGGGAUGACGGCCUUCGGGUUGUAAACCUCUUUCAGCAUCGACGAAGCGAAAGUGACGGUAGGUGCAGAAGAAGGACCGGCCAACUAUGUGCCAGCAGCCGCCGCCU
rnacentral:rRNA from 1 species